rnacentral:rRNA from 1 species
UACGGAGGGGGCAAGCGUUGUUCGGAAUUACUGGGCGUAAAGGGCGCGCAGGCGGCUGCUCAAGUCAGGCGUGAAAGGCCUGGGCUCAACCCGGGAAUUGCGCUUGAGACUGGGCUGGCUUGAGUGCGGGAGAGGAUGGUGGAAUUCCCAGUGUAGAGGUGAAAUUCGUAGAUAUUCGGAAGAACACCAGUGGCGAAGGCGACUCACUGGACACGUAUUGACGCUGAGGUGCGAAAGCGUGGGGAGCAAACAGG